rnacentral:misc_RNA from 1 species
UCCGGUUUGGCACCGGCAGUCUCCCUAGAGUUCCCGGCAUGACCCGCUGGCAACUAAGGACAGGGGUUGCGCUCGUUGCGCCACUUAAGGCAACACCUCACGGCACGAGCUGACGACAGCCAUGCACCACCUGUGCAGGCUCCGAAGAGCGCCCGCUUUCACGGGUUUCACCCUGCAUGUCAAGCCCAGGUAAGGUUCUUCGCGUUGCAUCGAAUUAAGCCGCAUGCUCCGCCACUUGUGCGGGCCCCCGUCAAUUCCUUUGAGUUUCAACCUUGCGGUCGUACUCCCCAGGCGGGGCACUUAACGCGUAAGCUGCGACACGGAAGGGGCCGAUCCCCCCAGCACCUAGCACCCAUCGUUUACAGCGUGGACUAC